GAAAGUUUCAGUGCAUUCCAUUGAUGUAGACGGCGUGAAAACGGAAACAAGUAUGCCGUCUCACUGUGCUGCUUACAAUUACACACUACGUCGUACGAUUGAGACAAGGAAACUUGGAAUGACUUUUCAUAGGUUUCCCAGAGACUAUGGGUUGAGGAGGAAUUGGAAGUUUGUCGGCUUAGACCUGGUGUCAUUCCAUCAGUGUUUAACUUCCCGGCUCAUCUUGGAAGAGUACGUGCCAGAAAGACCACGACCAAGCAGCCUUGAGAUCUUAGGCAGCGUCUCCCUGAGUUCAAAGGUCCCUCUCUAUCUCCCCACACAUCCACCAACCACUGGAACACAUCUCCAAAGUUCUGCUGGGCCAGCUUAGCUUCCCCUCAGAAGAAGUGCUGCCACCUGACAGAUGAAGGAGCCUUUUGAGAGGCAGCUGGCAUCGUGACUGGACUGUACUUUGGUCUGUUCCAAUCCAGCUUCAGCUCCAGAGACGGCAGGCGGGACGAGUCAACGGAGGCCGGGUGGACGAAGGCAUGCAGCUGAGUACAAUCCAGAAAACAACUGAGGAGGAGUGCAGUGGCCCAGGGCCAGAACAACCAGAGUAGCAUCGUAUGUCUCCUAGAAAACAUCAUAGUAUAGCCUUUGGUAUGAAAAAACACCAUCAUAUACAUCGUAUAUUGUACAAAUAACAAGUCAAAGGAAAGAGACAUACAUUGUAGAAUUGUAGUAAUUUUGGGCUGACUGAUUUACUGAUUAUCAGUAUUUUAUUUUUUACUGAUUUACGGUAAUAAAUACAUUUAAAAAUGGCA